rnacentral:tRNA from 1 species
GUUUAGAUAGCUCAGUUGGUUAGAGCAAAGGACUGAAAAUCCUUGUGUCGGCAGUUCAAGUCUGUCUCUGAACA